AGCAGGCCAAAACCCAAACCAACAUCAUUGGUACAAAAAAAUCAAUCCUAAACAAAUUAGCUUGAAUUGGACCACAAUUGACUUUUCAAUUGUCAAUGUAACACCCCUAAUUUUUAAAUAAUUAUUUUAUAUGUCAAUAUAAAUAUUUUAGUCUAACCCUUAGUGUUGUGGGUUUUGCGUAAGUACUUUCAUUUCGUGGCAUUUCGAUCAUCGCCAGAAUUUGCAAUUUCGGACCGAGCAGAUAAGCCGCCGGAAUUACUUCGGAACCGAGUCAAAGUUAUAUGCUACCCCACCAUUUUCAGACGCUCCAGACGUGUUCCAAGCAUCAGAAUUGACAUAAGUAAACCCGAACUUCGAGUUUCUUUAAUUUUAUAGUGCUAGAUUUAGAAUAAAAUUUCAUAAAA
rnacentral:misc_RNA from 1 species